CAGUCGCCACGGUAAUACGAAGGAUGCAAGCGUUACUCGGAAUUACUGGGCGUAAAGCGUGUGUAGGUGGUUGUUUAAGUCUGUCGUGAAAGCCCUGGGCUCAACCUGGGAAUUGCGAUGGAUACUGGGCGACUAGAGUGCGGUAGAGGAUAGUGGAAUUUCCGGUGUAGCAGUGAAAUGCGUAGAGAUCGGAAGGAACAUCUGUGGCGAAGGCGACUAUCUGGGCCAACACUGACACUGAGACACGAAAGCGUGGGGAGCAAACAGGAUUAGAUACCCCCGUAGUCCCUGUCUCUUAUAU
rnacentral:rRNA from 1 species